rfam:Lupinus angustifolius cultivar Tanjil contig_31076, whole genome shotgun sequence.
AGGUGCGAUCAUACCAGCACUAAUGCACCGGAUCCCGUCAGAACUCCGCAGUCAAGUGCGCUUGGGCGAGCGUAGUACUAGGAUCGGUGACCUCUUGGGAAGUCCUCGUGUUCCACCUC